UACAGAGGGGGCAAGCGUUGUUCGGAAUUACUGGGCGUAAAGAGCUCGUAGGCGGCUUGUCGCGUCGUCCGUGAAAACCUGCGGCUCAACUGCAGGCUGGCGGUCGAUACGGGCAUCACUGGAGUUCGGCAGGGGAGACUGGAAUUCCUGGUGUAGCGGUGAAAUGCGUAGAUAUCAAGAGGAACACCUGAGGUGAAGACGGGUUGCUGGGCCAACACUGACGCUGAUGCGCGAAAGCCAGGGGAGCAAACGGG
rnacentral:rRNA from 1 species